rnacentral:tRNA from 1 species
GGUCCCGUGGUCUAGUUGGUUGUGGCAUCUCGCUCACACCGAGAAGGUCCCCGGUUCGAGCCCGGGCGGAACCA